rnacentral:rRNA from 1 species
AUGUUGCGAAUGGGAUUAAUCGUUCCGAGUACCAGUCCUUUCUCUUCUCCGAUGCUCCUGGUCAAGAAAAAAGAUAUGACAUGGCGUUUCUGUGUGGAUUUUCGCCAUUUGAACGCGAUUACAGUGAAGUCCAGCUAUCCUAUGCCAGUUAUUGAUGAGUUGCUCCAGGAUCAUGUUGGUUCUCCAAGCUAG